ACGGAAGGCAGCAGUGGGGAAUAUUGCACAAUGGGGGAAACCCUGAUGCAGCAACGCCGCGUGAGCGAUGAAGGCGAUUUCGUCGUAAAGCUCUGUCCUUGGGGAAGAAACAAAUGACGGUACCCUUGGAGGAAGCCCCGGCUAACUACGUGCCAGCAGCCGCGGUAAUACGUAGGGGGCAAGCGUUAUCCGGAAUUAUUGGGCGUAAAGAGUACGUAGGCGGUUUCCUAAGCGCAGGGUCUAAGGCAAUGGCUCAACCAUUGUGCGCCCUGUGAACUGGGAGACUUGAGUGCAGGAGGGGAAAGCGGAAUUCCUAGUGUAGCGGUGAAAUGCGUAGAUAUUAGGAGGAACACCAGUGGCGAAGGCGGCUUUCUGGACUGUAACUGACGCUGAGGUACGAAAGUGUGGGGAGCAAACAGGAUUAGAUACCCUGGUA
rnacentral:rRNA from 1 species